CUCCUUCAGUGGCAGUAUCGUAGCCAAUGAGGUUUAUCCAAGGCGCGAUUAUUGCUAAUUUAAAAAAUCUCUGAGAAGUAAAUGUUCUUUUCCAGGAUUUAAUACCCACAGAAGU
ensembl:snRNA U4 U4 spliceosomal RNA